GCUGCUGUCGACAGUGCGUGUGGAAGUUUGUCAGAAAAUCCACGUUAUUGUUUGUUUUUGUAUCAAAUGAAGCUCGAUGUUUGUUUACAUUUGUUUAUAAACUAAGACAAAGACAUGGACGGACACAGCCGCGGUCUCCUGGACGUCCAUGUCCCCGCUCACGUGACGAACAUGUCGGACAUGAACCGAGCGAAGCCUCGCGGCUGUGAUGACGGAGCUUUGAUUGACAGGUUCGGUGGUUCUGAUCUCCGCUGGCUGUGGUCGCCUUCAGUACACUCAUGUGUUAUUGAAGUUCAUUUUUCUUCUGCAGUGAAAAGAUUCCAUGAACCUGUUACCUGAUGAACUUCCUGCUGGACACCACAGUGGGGAUGCUGCUCAUCUGGUCGUAGCUGGUGGAGAAACAGCAGUGGACGCUGCUGGUGUUUGGAGAAUAUGGCGAGAAUCCUCAGGCAGCAGUGUUUACCUGCUCAUCAUGGUUCUGGAGAAAGGUGCCGUCAUUGUGGUGCUGCUCGCCCCCCGGGUGGUCCAAAGUUGUUUCCUGUUGUUUCCUCUUGUUGACGUUGUUCCCUCUUGUUGUUUCCUGAUGUUGUUGAGGUUGUUUCCUGUUGUUGUUGAGGUUGUUUCCUGUUGUUGCUGAUGUUGUUUCCUCUUGUUGUUGACAUUGUUUCCUGUUGUUGUUGAGGUUGUUUCCUGUUGUUGUAGAAGUUGUUUCCUGUUGUUGUUGCUGAUGUUGUUUCCUCUUGUUGUUGACAUUGUUUCCUGUUGUUGUUGAGGUUGUUUCCUGUUGUUGUAGAAGUUGUUUCCUGUUGUUGUUGUUGAGGUUGUUUCCUCUUGUUGUUGAGGUUGUUUCCUGUUGUUGCUUUCUGUUGUUGUUGUUGAGGUUGUUUCCUGUUGUUGUUGAAGUUGUUUCCUGUUGUUGUUGACGUUGUUUCCGCUUGUUGUUGACAUUGUUCCCUGUUAUUGUUGAGGUUGUUUCCUGUUGUUGUUGACGUUGUUUCCUCUUGUUGUUGCUUCCUGUUGUUGUUGUUGAGGUUGUUUCCUGUUGUUGUUGAGGUUGUUUCCUGUUGUUGUUGACGUUGUUUCCUCUUGUUCUUGACAUUGUUUCUUGUUGUUGCUUCCUGUUGUUGUUGACAUUGUUUCCUGUUCUUGUUGAAGUUGUUUCCUGUUGUUGCUUCCUGUUGUUGUUGUUGACGUUGUUUCCUCUUGUUGUUGACAUUGUUUCCUGUUGUUGUUGAGGUUGUUUCCUGUUGUUGACAUUGUUCCCUGUUGUUGUUGAGGUUGUUUCCUGUUGUUGUUGACGUUGUUUCCUUUUGUUGUUGACAUUGUUUCCGGUUGUUGUUUCCUGUUGUUGCUUCCUGUUCUUGUUGACGUUGUUUCCUGUUGUUUUUGACGUUGUUUCCUGUUGUUGUUGACAUUGUUUCCUGUUCUUGUUGAGGUUGUUUCCUGUUCUUGUUGACGUUGUUUCCUCUUGUUGUUGUUGGGGUUGUUUCCUGUUGUUGUUGUUGAGGUUGUUCAGCAGCAGAAGGUUCUGCUGAGCUACAUCCAGGAUCUUCUUCGUUUCUCUGGUGAGCUCAGUCUGGUCUCUAUGGCGCCCUCUGUAGUCCAUCAUGUUCUGGGUGGUGGACAGUCCGAUGAUCAGGAAGAACAAGACAAUGAAGGGUGACCGUUCAGUGAAGAAGAACGACAGCGACACUGAGUCACAGGUGAGAGGCAACUAUGAUGAUGAUGAUGACGUCACGUUACAUUAGGUUCAAUAAUAAGAUCAUUUUUAAAGUUUAAAAAGAAAACAAUUGAAACUGUUUCUUUAAUAUUCCUUCAUUAUUGUGCAUGAACCAGAAAUGUUUCUGUGUGGAUGUAAACAAGGUCAUGUGAUCAGCAGAACAUUAGAUUUAAUGAAUGAAACAUUUCACUUCAAAUCAUAAACAUUCAACAUCAAAGAAAACAAAGAUGUUGAGGAGAGAGUGAGUCACAGAAAGUUUCUGAAACAACGCUGACAUUUAACAGGUUUCCACUCUGAUGUGACAGAGGACAGAGGACUAUUGACUGAGAUGUGUGUGUGUCUGUGUGAAUGUAAACCAAAGGUUAAAGUUAUGAGAUAAUCUCACAGUGAAGUUACUUAAUAAUCCUUCAGCAGCAGAACAUCUUCACUUCUGUAUCUUCACUCCUGUCACUGUGAAGAAACAUCUGGUUGUCUUCAUCAGCAGAACAUCUUCACUUCUGUAUCUUCACUCUUGUUACUGUGAGGAAACAUCUGGUAGUCUUCAUCAGUAGAACAUCUUCACUUCUGUAUCUUCACUCCUGUCACUGUGAAGAAACAUCUGGUUAUCUUCAUCAGUAGAACAUCUUCACUUCUGUAUCUUCACUCCUGUCACUGUGAAGAAACAUCUGGUUAUCUUCAUCAGUAGAACAUCUUCACUUCUGUAUCUUCACUCCUGUCACUGUGAAGAAACAUCUGGUUAUCUUCAUCAGUAGAACAUCUUCACUCCUGUCACUGUGAGUAAACAUCUGGUUAUCUUCAGCAGCAGAACAUCUUCACACGUUUCCUUCAUCAUGUUUUGAUGUUGAAUCUUUUACUUAAAGGGGACAUAUUAUACCCUAUUUCCCCAAGUUAAAAUAGUUCCCUGGUGUCCUAUCGAACAUGUCUGGGACAUGCUUUGGUCAAAAUACCAUAAGGAUGAAGCACCAUAGCAGUUCAAUGACCCUACUAAACCCGCCCCUUUCAGAACGCUGAAAUGAGACACACCCACACACACACCCACUUCUUCCAGGGGGUUUCUGAUUUGUCCUUGUUACUGCGCUCACUCGCUCAGCUCCUGUUCCCUCCGCUCCAUUCCUCUCCCCCUCCCUCCACUAGUUCUCUGACAAUAUCAACAUGGCAGCGAGAGUGUCGUCACAGGAAGAGACGUCUGACACAAGGAUCAAGCCGAACACUGCCCAACUGUAAAUCAGUUAAAAACACUUAGGGACAGCACUGCUGAUCACUGUAUGUGACUGUAUCAGACUGAGUCUGUGCUCCGGUCAUGGAGGACGUACUGAACAAAUAUGUUUAAUUAGGACGUGUCAGAAUGGUCAGUUAUGACCUCUAUUUGACCUUUUCUUAAACAUGUGUGUGUUUGUACGUCGGUGAAAUACGGUCACUGACUAAAUACGGCGACCGCUGGCCGCAGUCUGAUGUGAAGUGGUGCGAACACACGAACACACGUUUGCUGACUUUAUCCGGCACAUUAGCUUCAUAUAUAAAAUCCUCUGAGGCUGGAAGUUUGUGUAAAACACUGUGCUCCACUGUGCAGCCACCAACAGCACACUUGUCCCUCCGCCUUGACAUAAUACCGCUCUUCCUCCCUCGUCUGCACUCUCGCAGGGACAAGGUGGAGCUCUCGAAGUAAACUUACUGGUGGGCGGUAACAUUCGCGGUGAAAUGCGCAUGCUGCCGUCAUAAGUGCAGGGAAUUCAACAUCGAGUGUUUUAUCGCCUAUACUUACACUAAGGGGGACCACGAAAACAUGACGGAGUAUUCUUUUUCCACACUUUGGCGACUGGUAGGGCCUCCAGAGUCCCAUAUAUAAGUAUUAAAAUGAUUAAAAAGUUGAUUUUGCAUAAUAUGUCCCCUUUAAGUUGAAUUAAAGGUGCAGUUCCAGUUAUUUCUGUCAGUUAUGAAGACGUUUUUAUGCUACGCUAAACUAAUGGUCUUCUUCUUCUUCUAAUAAUCAUUUCUGGUAGGCUGCACAUGUAGAGGUGCAAUGCUGCCACAGUUCACAGUUUAAAGUGAAUUGUAAUUUUGAUGAUGAUGAAGAAUAACAGACCACCUGAGUGGGAGUGGCCAGAGCACACCUUCGUGGGUGGAGCCAGCAGCCCGGUGACCUCCGUGACCUCCAGCUGAUGACAGGGACGACUCUGGAGCUCUGUGUGUGUGUGUGUGUGUGUGUGUGUGUGUUUGUGUGUGUGUUGCUGGGAUGAGAGGGUUGGUCUCCGUGGUAACCAGGUGUGAUCCUCAGGCCGUGGGUCGCCAUGUUAACGACAUGUUGACAUACAUAUUAGGAUUAUGGAUCAAAACUGUGAAGUAUUAGCUGCUGUCAGAGAUUAUGGGAUUAUGAGUCCUGAGGUUCACCCUCGGUGUGGAACACGGGCGUGUCGGUGUGGAACAUGGGCGUGUCAGUGUGGAACAUGUGCGACACCACGUAGUCCGCGUACUCUCCGUCGAUCAGCUGGGCUGCGUUGUUUCUGGCGAACCAACAGUCCACGCUCUGCGUCCCGCUGAAGAUACGUCUGCUCUUCUGAACCACAGGCACCGAACGACCUUUGACCUUCAGAACUGUAGAAGGUUUCACAUCUUCCUGUGCAGGAAGUUUGGCCACGCCCACUUCCUCAUACAGGAACUGACCUGAAAGCAGAAUCAAUGAUUUGAUGAGAUUUAGAUGUUGAUAUUAGUGAGUAAUGACGGUCAGUAAAGAACUGCUGAAGGUCAGAGGUCACUCACCCAGCAGACCGUGGCAGUGGUGUGAAAGUCCUUUGCUGUUUCCGAUGUAAAAGCCCAGGUGGUUCCUCUGAUAAGGGGCGGGGUUCCUGUAGUGAUGCAGCAGGAUGACAAAGCUGAUGUCUCCGCCCACCGUCACCGUCACGUUACAUUGUGCGACGACAGACACCGACAGAACUCCGCUGUCCACCUCGACGCUGGAGUGACAGGGCAGCACCAGGCGGUCUCGGCCGUCCAGGAUCACCCUCUCCGGGUUCACCUCGAUGUAGGCGCGUUUGGGACGAUCCACGAUGACAGUGAUGGUGCUGAAGUAGGUGCGCCGCUGCUUGUGGCUGCCCUGUGGCGCUGGAGCGCCGACAAGUUUCCCGUUCACUGUCACGCCUGUUCAACGACACAAGUUUAGACCUCGUGGUGAAGAUGAGAUGAAAGGUUUGAACGAGUCUCACCGGAGUGUCUGUGGUCAGACAGCAGACGCAGGACGUGUCCAGGUUCACCGUUGAUGUUGAAGCAGACACUCAGUUUACUGAGAGGAAAGUCCACCACGAAGUGAGGGUCGCCAUCGGCUGCACAACAACAACAACAACAACAACAACACAACAACAACAAGUAGACGAAGUGUGGCUGCUCGGCUCCGUGUUGGACGUCUGCAGAGCGGCGUCUUCUGUAUCUGGAAGCUGAUUGGCCGUUGACUCUGCUUCACCAGAUGUUGAGCUGACGGUUGGAGCUGGAGCCAUGGAGCCGUGGGCCAGAACCUCGGGCUUCUCCAGCACCAGCCGCGAGCGUAGCCCCUCUUUGACGCUCAGGAAACCCCACACACGCUCCACAAAGUCUUCUGCGAUGGAACCCAGAGCGACUCCUAACCUCUGUGCGACCUCUGACCCUGGGCCCUUCGCACCACCGGCCAUCGCCACGGUGGCAGCUGUCACGUGCUCCCGGGUCUGGAUCUGCUGGCGUCUCAGAGGGACGUCUGUCUCCAGGACGAUGUCCUUGUCGUUGUUACUCGCUGUGACGAGGACGUGCAGAGACUUGACGCUCCGGUCGUUGCAGUGAGACUCACAUGGUGAAGUUGGAGACAAAAGCAUCAGCAGGAAUGUGGAAGUGAAAGGUGGCGUCAGCGGCGACGCUGUGACGGUUCAACAUGACGCAGUAAACGGCCGUGAAGGCGUAACGAGAGAUGAUGGUGGUUCUGAUGGACAGUUCCUGGAUGUGAGAUUGUUUUCACCUGUCGUGGAAUUCUGGGAGGAGCCUGUGAGAGCGAGGGAAGAAAAAAAAACAGGUCAAAGCUGUUCCUGAGCAGCACAGCCCAUCAUCAUCAUCAUCAUCAUCAUCAUCAUCUUCAUCUUCAUCUUCAUCAGCAGACCCUCGUU